rnacentral:rRNA from 1 species
AUUGAACGCUGGCGGCAUGCUUUACACAUGCAAGUCGAACGGUAACAGGGUGCUUGCACCGCCGACGAGAGGCGAACGGGUGAGUAAUGCGUCGGAACGUGCCGAGUAGUGGGGGAUAACGCAGCGAAAGUUGUGCUAAUACCGCAUACGUACUGAGGUAGAAAGUGGGGGACCUUCGGGCCUCACGCUAUUCGAGCGGCCGACGUCUGAUUAGCUAGUAGGUGAGGUAAAGGCUCACCUAGGCGACGAUCAGUAGCGGGUCUGAGAGGAUGAUCCGCCACACUGGGACUGAGCCACGGCCCAGACUCCUACGGGAGGCAGCAGUGGGGAAUUUUGGACAAUGGGCGAAAGCCUGAUCCAGCCAUGCCGCGUGUCUGAAGAAGGCCUUCGGGUUGUAAAGGACUUUUGUCAGGGAGGAAAUCCCUAGUGCUAAUACCGCUGGGGGAUGACAGUACCUGAAGAAUAAGCACCGGCUAACUACGUGCCAGCAGCCGCGGUAACAC